rnacentral:rRNA from 1 species
UACAGAGGUGCCAAGCGUUAGGCGGAAUCACUGGGCUUAAAGCGCGUGUAGGUGGAUGGGUAAGUACCUUGUGAAAUCCCACGGCUCAACCGUGGAACUGCUGGGUAUACUGCUUGUCUUGAGGCACUCAGGGGCAGCUGGAACAAAUGGUGGAGCGGUGAAAUGCGUAGAUAUCAUUUGGAACGCCAAAGGCGAAAGCAGGCUGCUGGGAGUGAUCUGACACUGAGACGCGAAAGCCAGGGGAGCAAACGGGAUUAGAUACCCUGGUAGU